GACGAACGCUGGCGGCGUGCUUAACACAUGCAAGUCGAACGGAAAGGCCCUGCUUGCAGGGUGCUCGAGUGGCGAACGGGUGAGUAACACAUGCGUGAUCUGCCCCUUACUUUGGGAUAAGCCUGGGCAACUGGGUCUAAUACUGGAUAGGACCAUGCUGUAGGUGGUGUGGUGGAAAGAUUAGUUUCGGUAAGCGAUGAGCUCGUGUCCUAUCAGCGCGUUGGUGGGGUAAUGGCCAACGAAGGCGUCGACGGGUGGCCGGCCUGAGAGGGUGGACGGCAACAUCGGGACUGCGAUGCGGCCCAGCCUCCUACGGGAGGCAGCAGUGGGGAAUAGUGCACAAUGGGCGCAAGCCGGAUGUGGCGACGCCGCGUGGGGGAUGACGGCCUUCGGGUUGUAAACUACUUACGGCCAUGACGAAGCCCUUGUGGUGACGGUAGUGGUAGAAGAAGCACCGGCUAACUACGUG
rnacentral:rRNA from 1 species